AGAGGCGACGCUGGCAGCCGUCUCUUAGGAGAUUUCUCCGCAGUGUGGACGGGGGUCAGGAUUUGCAGGCGAGCAAGGGCAGAGAGGAGAAAUCGUACAGAAAAAUUUUUGGUUUGUUUUUGUAUUUACGCAUGGAGGAACUGAAGCUUGGCGAGAACAAGAGUGAAUUUUGGCCCAAGGUCACACAGAUGGUAAGUGGCACAUCAGGGGUUAGAACCCAGUCUGGCUGUCAAUAAAACUGUACCCACCCAGGUGCUUCUCCAAGGGCUGAAAAUCUGCCUCAUUUGUCUAACAGGCUGCCCAAGUCCCCUUAGAUCAUGAGAGGGACAAGUGACCAGGCAAAACAAGGGGGAGGUUUUGUUUCCUCUAGAGGGGAAGAAAACAUGUAGCCCCUAUCUAGAGAAAAAUCCUCUCCAUGGUUUCCCCAAACACAUUCCACCAAAGAGAACUUCGUCUUUAAUAAUGUUCCCAUUUUGCUCCCAUUUUGGUCCAGCAUGUAAGAAAGUCUCUAUGAAUGGUAUUUUGAGUGGCGGGCAGAGAAGCAAGUAGGGCAGGGAGUAUUAUCUUAGGGUAGGAUAACUUGAAAGAUAUGAGAUUGCUUUUACUAUCAUAUUAGCUUCCCUGCCCAUCAUCAGAGUCAAUUCUGCUAGCCUUGCUCUCUAGCAAGGAGCCUCUCCAUUCCCCAUCAAUCCAUGCAUUUCUUUCCCAAGGCUGAACCAUAUCUGGAAAACAGCCAUGUUCCAUAUAGUUCCUGGGAAGGCUAGGCCUCAACACCACACAUCUUGGAUCAGAUCAGUACCUCCCUAUUGGUGCAACUGUUGGGGAAUAGGAGUUUUUAUUCUAUUAAAGUUUUGGAGACACUCAUGGAGCAGGAAUUUUGAAUAGGCAGAAAACAUUAUUAUAAUAGUAGCUACUGUUAAUACUACUGGAUAUCUGGCAUUAUUCCAGGUGAAUUAAAUGUAUUUAUUCUUAUAAUUCAGUCCUUUCAACAAUUAUAAAAAUAUAUGUUAUUGUCCUCAUUUUUAUAUAUAGGAGGAAACUGAGUCUCAGAGGGUUUAAGGUUGUAUUUGCUGAAGGUCUCAUUGUUGGUAUUAGUUAGAAUUAGCUUUGACUGCAAGUGACAGGAACACAAGAUUGGCUAAAACAAAAUGUGAGUUGUAUUUUCCUCUCUCACGCCACACAGGGUUAGGGUCAGGCUUCCCAAUUGUCAAAUUGCACCUCAUGUUUCUCUGCCAUCCGCCACACAGGGGUUCUGUCUGAUGGUCCAAGAUGGCUGCAGUGGGUCACCACCUACUCUCUAGUAGGAGGAAACAAAGGGAGAAGAGAAUUUCCACUUCUCUUAAGGACACUUCUUGGAAGUGACAAACACUACUUCUACUUGCAACCAUCGAUCCGAGCUAUAUCUCAAAGACUUGCCCAGCUGCAAGAGAGACUGAUAAACAUAAUCUAUUCUGGGUGGCUACGUGUCCAGCUAAAUUCAGGAUUUAUGUUUUUGAGGAAGAAGGGGAAAAGGGAUGUUGAAAGACAAUUAGCAGUCUGGCACAGAAGGGAUGUGGACUCAGGGCUAUGUGGUCCAGAGACUAGAACCUUUCCGUCAUCUCACACUGCUUCUUGAGCACCUUGGCAGCCAAGGAGAGGAGGCAGAGUGCCAAAGAUAGUUUUUCUGUGUGUCCUGAGGUGGCCUGAGGGCCUCUGAAAGUCAGCCUCUGAGACACAUGCUAUAGGCUGUCUUAGAUAUUUCCUCGAUUUUUUGCUCCCCCAGCAUUUUGAAUACGUUUAUAUAUUCAUCCAUAUGUUAUCAUUGUUUAUUUUCAGUUUUCCUGAAUCAAACAUUGGCAAAUUGGUAACAUUCAUUACAUGAAUGACUGAAUUGAUGAAACGGCCAAUUUUGUUUUUUUUUAUCUCUAGCAUAAUGUCUAGCAUUUUACAGGUAUUCAACAAAUAUAUGUUUAUUGAAUGGAUGCCUGGAGAGCCAACAACUUUCCUAAUUCAAUUUUUUUUCUAAUUUUGAGUAAGCACAGCCUACUUUCUCAGCAUAUCCUUUUCUCUUCCAGGAUGGGAGAAGAGAGAAAACAGAAAAGACAAUAGAAAAAGAAAAAAUGGGACAAGGUAUAUUUAUUAUACAAGUUCUCUCAUCCCUUACUUUCUUCUCUCCAUUUAUUUUUGAUACCACAAUCAUGAAUUUUCCUAUCCAAAUGGACUUCCAUAAUACUCUUUGAGGAAUGGCCUAAGAAUGCU
ensembl:lncRNA novel transcript